rnacentral:rRNA from 1 species
AGUGAACGCUGGCGGUAUGCCUAACACAUGCAAGUCGAACGGCAGCACAGUAAGAGCUUGCUCUUACGGGUGGCGAGUGGCGGACGGGUGAGGAAUACAUCGUAAUCUACUUUUUCGUGGGGGAUAACGUAGGGAAACUUACGCUAAUACCGCAUACGACCUACGGUUGAAAGCAGGGGAUCUUCGGACCUUGCGCGAUUGAAUGAGCCGAUGUCGGAUUAGCUAGUUGGCGGGGUAAAGGCCCACCAAGGCGACGAUCCGUAGCUGGUCUGAGAGGAUGAUCAGCCACACUGGAACUGAGACACGGUCCAGACUCCUACGGGAGGCAGCAGUGGGGAAUAUUGGACAAUGGGCGCAAGCCUGAUCCAGCCAUACCGCGUGGGUGAAGAAGGCCUUCGGGUUGUAAAGCCCUUUUGUUGGGAAAGAAAAGCAGCAGGUUAAUACCCCGCUGUUCUGACGGUACCCAAAGAAUAAGCACCGGCUAACUUCGUG